rnacentral:sRNA from 1 species
AGUUACAAUUUGUCAUUAAGAUAUCAAUUAUUUGAAAUGCUUGCGGCUUUUCAGUGGAACGACACAACUCUGAAAUUCCCUAAUUUUUAAUCAGCUGGACUAGCGACGCUAUUUGGUAUUUGAUUUUACCAUGACAAACAUCAAUAAAAAGAAGAAAAGUCGUAAAAUUUAUUUAAAUUUUUUAUAUGAUGUCGGUGAAGAAAAUUCAAUGCGCUAGAGCAGCUCCAUCGCAGCACUCUGCCCUUAUGAGGAUCCUAGAAGGGAAAAAGGCUUGCGGAGAGUAAAUAUGCCGCCUGAACUAUUGUAGCCGUUAAGUGAAGCGGACGUGUUUUUAUUUCGCUCCUCAAAGAAAAAAUAAAUAUACAUAUAUUCGUAUCUCGGAA